rnacentral:rRNA from 1 species
GACGAACGCUGGCGGCGUGCUUAACACAUGCAAGUCGAACGGGCCUUGUCCCCUUUUUUUUUGGGGGUGGGGUUAGUGGCGAACGGGUGAGUAACACGUGAGUAACCUGCCCCUCACUUCUGGAUAACCGCUUGAAAGGGUUGCUAAUACGGGGUGUUCUGGCCUGCUCGCAUGGGUGGGUUUGGAAAGAUUCGACCGGUUUUGGUUGUUUUGGUGGGGGAUGGGCUCGCGGCCUAUCAGCUUGUUGGUGGGGUGAUGGCCUGCCAAGGCUUUGACGGGUAGCCGGCCUGUGAGGGUGGGCGGUCACACUGGGACUGAGACACGGCCCAGACUCCUACGGGAGGCAGCAGUGGGGAAUAUUGCACAAUGGGCGCAAGCCUGAUGCAGCGACGCCGCGUGAGGGAUGGAGGCCUUCGGGUUGUGAACCUCUUUCGCCAGUGAAGAAGGUCCUGCUCUUUGUGGUGGGGUUGACGGUAGCUGGGUUAAUGAAGCGCCGGCUAACUACGUG